rfam:Citrus clementina cultivar Clemenules unplaced genomic scaffold scaffold_8, whole genome shotgun sequence.
AUACCAUGAUGAGGACAUUCCUAAGCAACUCCUUGAAUCUUUUACAUGCAUCAUACAAGCUUUUAUCUUCAAGUUGAUGGAAAGAUGUGAUCUAAUUCUUCAACUU